UGCGGGAUAGAGCAGUCAGGUAGCUCGUCGGCUGCAUAAGCCGGAGGUCGUCGGUUCGAAUCCGGCUCCCGCUA
rnacentral:tRNA from 1 species